rnacentral:tRNA from 1 species
GCGAAGGUGGCGGAAUUGGUAGACGCGCUAGCUUCAGGUGUUAGUGUCCUUACUUGGUAGCGCAACUGGUUUGGGACCAGUGGGUCGGAGGUUCGAAUCCUCUCUCGCC